rnacentral:rRNA from 1 species
UUUAACAGGGGAAUAACCCGUUGAAAAACGGACUAAUACUCCAUAACACAGGGGUCCCGCAUGGGAAUAUUUGUUAAAGAUUAAUCGGUUGAAGAUGGGCAUGCGUUCCAUUAGCUUGUUGGUGAGGUAACGGCUCACCAAGGCCACGAUGGAUAGGGGAACUGAGAGGUUUAUCCCCCACACUGGAACUGAGACACGGUCCAGACUCCUACGGGAGGCAGCAGUGAGGAAUAUUGGUCAAUGGAGGCAACUCUGAACCAGCCAAGUCGCGUGAAAAGGAUGAAGGUCUUAUGGAUUGUAAACUUCUUUUGCAAGGGAAUAAAGUGGGGGACGUGUCCUCCUUUGCAUGUACCUUGCGAAUAAGGAUCGGCUAACUCCGUGCCAGCAGCGGC